rnacentral:rRNA from 1 species
UACGUAUUUUUCAAUCUUUAAUCGGAAUUACUGGGCGUAAAGCGUGCGCAGGCGGUUAUAUAAGACAGAUGUGAAAUCCCCGGGCUCAACCUGGGAACUGCAUUUGUGACUGUAUAGCUAGAGUACGGUAGAGGGGGAUGGAAUUCCGCGUGUAGCAGUGAAAUGCGUAGAUAUGCGGAGGAACACCGAUGGCGAAGGCAAUCCCCUGGACCUGUACUGACGCUCAUGCACGAAAGCGUGGGGAGCAAACAGGAUUAGAUAACCUUGUAGUCC